AGCAGCCGCGGUAAUUCCAGCUCCAAUAGCGUAUAUUAAAGUUGUUGCAGUUAAAAAGCUCGUAGUUGAAUUUCGGGAUCAAUUUAUUGGUCGUGCUAUUGUACGUACUGGUAUUAUUGAUUCCUACCUUCUGACGAACCAUGAUGUCAUUAAUUUGGUGUCAUGGGGAAUCAGGACUGUUACUUUGAAAAAAUUAGAGUGUUUAAAGCAGGCUCACGCUUGAAUACAUUAGCAUGGAAUAACGAAAUAGGACGUUUGAUUCUAUUUUGUUGGUUUCUAGGAUCGACGUAAUGAUUAAUAGGGAUAGUUGGGGGCAUUAGUAUUUAAUUGUCAGAGGUGAAAUUCUUGGAUUUAUUGAAGACUAACUACUGCGAAAGCAUUUGCCAAGGAUGUUUUCAUUAAUCAAGAACGAAAGUUAGGGGAUCGAAGACGAUCAGAUACCGUCGUAGUCUUAACCAUAAACUAUGCCGACUAGGGAUCGGAUGAUGUUAAUUUUUAAUGACUCAUUCGGCGCCUUAAC
rnacentral:rRNA from 1 species